GACGUAGGGCGCGAGCGUUGUCCGGAUUUAUUGGGCGUAAAGAGCUCGUAGGCGGCUCGUUGCGUCGGCUGUGAAAACCCGCAGCUCAACUGUGGGCUUGCAGCCGAUACGGGCGGGCUGGGAUUCGGUAGGGGAGACUGGAAUUCCUGGUGUAGCGGUGAAAUGCGUAGAUAUCUGGAGGAACACCGGUGGCGAAGGCGGCAUCCUGGACCGGCAUUGACGCUGAGGCGCGAAAGCCAGGGGAGCAAACGGG
rnacentral:rRNA from 1 species